rnacentral:rRNA from 1 species
CUCGUAGGCGGCUUGUCGCGUCGACUGUGAAAACCCGUGGCUCAACCAUGUGGUCUGCAGUCGAUACGGGCAGGCUAGAAUUCGGUAGGGGAGACUGGAAUUCCUGGUGUAGCGGUGAAAUGCGCAGAUAUCAGGAGGAACACCGGUGGCGAAGGCGGGUCUCUGGGCCGAUAUUGACGCUGAGGAGCGAAAGCGUGGGGAGCGAACA